rnacentral:rRNA from 1 species
AACGAGACCUUAACCUGCUGCCUUGCUGGUUUUGCUUUGUCAGUACGCUGGCUUCUUAGAGGGACUAUCGGCUCAAGCCGAUGGAAGUUUGAGGCAAUAACAGGUCUGUGAUGCCCUUAGAUGUUCUGGGCCGCACGCGCGCUACACUGACGGAGCCAGCGAGUUCUCCCUUGACCGGAAGGUCCGGGUAAUCU